rnacentral:lncRNA from 1 species
GACACUGUUCAGCUUUUUUAUCUUUUACCAGUAUUUGGGGACUUAUUGGGGAUUCCUUUGAUAAUUUCAGGAAGAAAGAAGUGGAAUGGAAGGAGCCAGUAACUGUCCCAGGUCAGAAAACGCCUCUGAAAAGGAUCUACAUUACACCCAAAGUUCAUUGGAUAACUGCACCCUCAACAAUCAGGAGACAAUAAGUGGUGUAGACAGAGCUAAUAUCUUCCCCAAAUCAGAUGGUACCUCUGAAGACAUUCAGCAUUCCACAGACUGUUCACAGGUUGAGACUUUCCACAUUCAGGAGACAAUAAAGGGUAUAAACCAAGCCAGUAACUGCCCCAAAUCAGAUGGUGCCUCUGAAGACAAUCAGCAUUGCACAGACAGUCCACAGCAUGACAGUAUCUUCCACAUUCAGGAGACAAUAAAGGGUACAAACCAAGCCAGUAACUGCCCCAAAUCAGAUGGUGCCUCUGAAGACAAUCAGCAUUGCACAGACAGUUCACAGCAUGACAGUAUCUUCCACAUUCAGGAGACAAUAAGUGGUACGAACCAAGCCAGUAACUGCCCCAAAUCAGAUGGUGCCUCUGAAGACAAUCAGCAUUGCACAGACAGUUCACAGCAUGACAGUAUCUUCCACAUUCAGGAGACAAUAAAGGGUAUAAACCAAGCCAGUAACUGCCCCAAAUCAGAUGGUGCCUCUGAAGACAAUCAGCAUUGCACAGACAGUCCACAGCAUGACAGUAUCUUCCACAUUCAGGAGACAAUAAAGGGUAUAUGAACCAAGCCAGUAACUGCCCCAAAUCAGAUGGUGCCUCUGAAGACAAUCAGCAUUGCACAGACAGUUCACAGCAUGACAGUAUCUUCCACAUUCAGGUAUGAAACUGCUCUUUUUUUAUGUAUUUUAAUUACAAUAUACGUUUAGUCCCCACAAUGUGCAAUGUGCAUGAUAUAUGUGAAGUCCCCAUAAAGUAUUGUGUAUCACAAAUGUUUAUGAAAGAUUCACAAGACUCAGGAUGAGAAGUGCUGCACCUCCCCCACUAUGUCCCCACAUUGUCUUCUAAAAAAAAAUCUCUACACUAAGUCCACACACUACACCUAUUUUGAUCUAUUAGGAUUUUGU